rnacentral:rRNA from 1 species
GACGAACGCUGGCGGCGUGCUUAACACAUGCAAGUCGAACGGAAAGGCCCUGCUUUUGUGGGGUGCUCGAGUGGCGAACGGGUGAGUAACACGUGAGUAACCUGCCCUUGACUUUGGGAUAACUUCAGGAAACUGGGGCUAAUACCGGAUAGGGGCUCCUGCUGCAUGGUGGGGGUUGGAAAGUUUCGGCGGUUGGGGAUGGACUCGCGGCUUAUCAGCUUGUUGGUGGGGUAGUGGCUUACCAAGGCUUUGACGGGUAGCCGGCCUGAGAGGGUGACCGGCCACAUUGGGACUGAGAUACGGCCCAGACUCCUACGGGAGGCAGCAGUGGGGAAUAUUGCACAAUGGGCGGAAGCCUGAUGCAGCAACGCCGCGUGCGGGAUGACGGCCUUCGGGUUGUAACCCGCUUUCGCCUGUGACGAAGCGUGAGUGACGGUAAUGGGUAAAGAAGCACCGGCUAACUACGUG